GUCGCAUGAUGCAAUCGCCGUGUAAAACUAUCAUUAUAGGUUCCCGGAAAACCUACGAGAUUCGUUUCUGAAUGAACCUGCCGAUCAACGUUGGAAACUGGACAAUUCUGGAUAUGGAUACUCUCGUUGACAUCUUGAACCAUUACGAGUUGAAGGACUGGAUUUGCCAUCUGUCUUUCUUUUACUCAUUCUGCAAAAGGCUUUAUCGAGGACAUAUAAAUGGGCAAUAAUGAUCGUUGGUCCGUCUUAACGACCUUCGAAGGCCACGAAGGAAAGAAAGGAGGAAGAGAGGGAAGAAAACGGGAGGCAAUGAAGGAAUUCAGCGUCAUGACGUUAACACGAUCAACACGAAAGAUAGGAACAGCAGACGGUAUAUACAACGACGACGGUAACGACGGCGAUGUCGAUGGCGACGGCGACAGCGACGGCGACGGCGACGAUGACAACGACGACGACGACGACGACGACGACGGCGACGACCAUGUCCGUCGUCUUUAGAUUCGUUGUAAAUCCUCUUGAGCUAGGGUAGAGAACAGGACAUGUCGGUG